rnacentral:lncRNA from 1 species
CGAGUCUGACUUCGCAGUAGCAUCCGAGAGUAAAAGGACCACGGCAUGCCGGGGGGCACGGUUUCAUAUGCAUAUAAUAUGAAAAUUUUGUGAUUUGCACUACUGCUUUGUUUAAACCGCAUACUUAUUAUGCCAGGAUGAUUAUUAGAUAAACAUGCAUGUCAGCUUCUCAAAACCCUGAUUUACAUGUUUAGUCUACUGGUUGAUCCGGUAGGAUUAUGCAGGAUUACUUACUGAGCCGUGUAGCUCAUAUCCGUUCAUUUACUUUUUCUUUCAGAUCCUCACCACUGAUAGCUGCCAGAGACACGUUAAUUUGGUAUCAGGGCUUCUGGGGUAAAGCAAGUAUACUUUUGUGUACAUAAACUAUGUAGAAGCUCUGUAUUUGGGUACCAACCAGCAUGUUGUACUAAGAAUGCUUUCAUAUAAAAAGAUUCGGUUGGUUUGACUACCCUAUUACCCAGGUAUGAGGCUGCGUGCUAUUGUGGGCGGUAGUCGGCAAUAGCACGGCCGUGUCACGGAUCCGGAUCCGGGGC